CCAUUGCCGUUCAUGGUGCUCAUGGAUGAUGCAACCCUGCUCCUCGCCAUGCCUAGGAGAGGGUGUUGACAAGUUGAGCCCUCAAUUGUUGGAUGUUACUACCAAAAUUGAUCCAUGCAGAGCACCACCUGCAGGAGUUUUCUUAUAUAAUGACCCACAAGUACUUCUUAGGCAGUAUGAUAUAUGAUCUGGAUGGAAAAUCUGAUAUCUGUUGAGAAGUUGUGAGAUUUCCAAGAUGAGUGAAGACUUGGAUAAAUGGGAUGUUUUAAUUAUUUUUUACUGAGAGAUAUAGAGGCUAAUAAUUUAGACACACAUUGUCUGAAAUGAAUGUAGAUCAAGCUGACUGCUGGAAUGAUGAGAUGGUGUAUGAAUGUAGAUCAAGCUGACUGCUGGAAUGAUGAGAUGGUGUUCUGGUACUAACUUCUCCAUUGUGGCUAGCUGGUUAGGAAAGGAAUAAAUAGUACUUAGAUAAUAAAUAGUAUGGUGUUUCUUCCCGCUAAUACAGUUUUAGAUGAUAACUAGACAAUCGGUAAAUCAAAUGAAUGAUUAUUCAUGUACAUGCUUGAUGCCUUAGGUCUAGCUUGAUAAGAGAGAAAGAACAUGUUUAUAUCCGCAUAACCAUGAUUAUGAUGUCAAACAAAUGACUAUGCUUUCCUUUUCGAGUUUUUUUUUCAUUUAUAUGAGCUGUAUUUUCUAAUGGAACAUAUGCUAAUAAUAAAACUCAUGUGUGAUUAUAUUUCCUGCCGGUGAUUCCGGGCAAAGAUGUAGUGAUGAUCCAUGAUCCCCUACCCGCCUCUAGCCCGGCGCUGGGCUGAUUGAACCAGAGUCCCCAGGCACACUGCAGGGCAGCGACCACAUUGGUUUUCAUGUUCUGUAUAGCAACUGUUGUGUAAUACUCCAAAUUGACGAAAUAAAUGUUUGAGCUUUUUUUAAGUGCAAGUAAUAUUAUGACGACCUAAGACAAGUUGAGAUAUGAAAUUAUAUCUUUAUAAAGCUUCAGUGUGGUUGGCUAAAACAUGAAAACUAUGGAAAAAUAAAAAAAACUAAAAUAAAUUUUGUGUCCUAGAGCAUGAACACUGGAGCUACAGUUAGUAGGUUUAACCCAUCGUCAGUUACUCUAAGCACUGUUGCAUAUAUUAUUGUUUUAUAUUCUGGUAUAAGAAUAGCACAUCUUCAUUAACAAUUCUCCAUUUGCACAUCUUCACUAAGCCAUUUUGCCGCUGAAGCUCAGCUAGACCAACAUGUAUCUUCAGUCAGGUGCCCAAAUCAAUAGCUGCAUUUUUUAUUUGCUAAAUUUGGCGUCCUUGAAUAUCUGAAUGUACACUAUCACUUUGGAUUCUUGUCAUUUUGGUUGUACCAACGAAAAUUUUGGUUUAAAGAUGAUGAGUUUCGGAAUGUGGUUAGCUCUGAGUACUGUGCCACUGUUAUAUUCUCUCUUUGUAGUUGAAUAAUUAGCAUGACUCCAUAGACCCCUUAGCUCUAUAUGCAUUAUUGUUCUUUAGUUUUAGCUGUGUUGAUUAUACCACUUUUGUUUUCUUUCCCAUUGCAGCUAAAUGAUUAGCUAGACCGUUUGGACUGAAUAAUGUUCCACGUGAGAGAAAUAG